GUUGGGUUAAAAAUCACGGUUGUUGACCUGUUAUCUCCUCAUCUUCAACCUAGAGAUGGCCGUCUCUGUUAUUAUACCCAAAAACAAAUCCCUAAUCAGUGAAAGAUAUAUACCUACAUUAAUGGAAAAUCCUUUGAGCAAUGAAGAAGCAGUUAGCUUUCCCUCAUAUUGAUCCUAAUUCAUGCUAUCAUUUCUCUUUUACUCAUGGCUACGAGACGACUAGUGCAAACAAGAAAAGGUACUUUGCCUGAGAACUCACUUAGUCCAAAUUGGUUCCACUUGGGAGGCCUAUUUUAACAAAUCUUAGGCUUCCGCAAUGGAUUAAACUUGCCAUGCCGCAUCGUGUUGUCUCCGGCCGUUUUCCAUUUAUGGCAAAGCAUUGAUCAGGGAACAGAAGGGGUAUGAUCAAGGAAUAGUAGGUACAUGACAAGCGAGUACAUCCAUUACUCAGUGCUCUAUUUAGUAAUUGGACUGAUAGCUGCAAUACCCUCUUUGUUUUGCGGGAGAAUCCCCUCUGAUUAUUUUGGUUUGGCACAAUGCUCAGACUUAUUGGUAGACGUGGAUGUUUCUCUGCUGAACUAAAUACAUCAAUUGCAUUCUUGUUCAUAGAUUCUUCAGCAAUCUUGCAAUGGCACCGAUCAAUGACCACCAGUAAAAGAGUCCAAGACAGAAGCAAGAGGAAGCGGGUGCAUGACCUUGAAAUAGCCACAGAAAAGCACAAGGUCCUCUCCAAAGUCCUAUUAAUAUUUGAAGUCCUCAAACAGGAGCCUCAACAAAUCAUAUCAAUUAGGGAACUUGAUCAGUAUAGGAGGCAAAUAAACCUCCCAAAGCCCCAUAAAAUCUCGGCUUUUCUACGGAAGUCCCCCAAGCUCUUUGAACUGUACAAGGAUCAUAGAGGGAUUUUAUGGUGUGGUAUGACAAAGGAGGCUGAAGGUUUAGUCCAAGAAGAGGAGGCUAUUAUUGAGCAGCAGAGUGAUAACGCUGCAGAGCUUGUAACUAGGAUGCUGAUGAUGUCCGUAGACAAGCGCCUUGCCUUAGAUAAGAUUGUUCAUUUCAGAAGAGAUUUGGGGUUGCCAAUGGAUUUUAGGAACCAUUGGGUGCACAGAUUUCCUGAUUACUUUAGAGUUGUUCAUCCAUUUAAACCUUAUGAUGAAAGUGAGUAUUUAGAGCUUGUGAAUUGGAGAUCGAGUUGGGCUAUGACAGGGUUAGAAAGGAAGGCUCUGGGUGGUAUGCAGGCCCCAGAUGAUCACGUAGCUGGUCUUCUUUCCUUGUCUUUCCCAAUGAAAUUCCCACCUGAUUAUAAACAAAUUUUGUCUAGAUAUAAGGGGAAGAUAGAGAAUUUUCAGAAGCGGGAAUACUUGUCGCCUUAUGCAGAUGCCAGGGAACUAAAGGCUGGAACACUGGAGUUUAAUAAGAGGGCGGUUGCAGUGAUUCAUGAGCUGCUGAGCUUUACAAUCGAAAAGAGGUUGGUGACAGAUUAUCUGACACAUUUUAGGAGGGAGUUCGUAAUGCCUCAGAAGCAGAUGAGGCUGUUGCUUAAACAUUUUGGAAUCUUUUAUGUUUCAGAAAGGGGUAAGAGGUUUCAUGUAUUUCUUAAUAGUGCUUAUGAAGGUUCUGAGUUGAUUGAGAAGCACCCUUUGACUGUUUGGAGAGAAAAGGUUCUAAGCUUUGUUGGAUACAGAAAGAAGAAGGAAACAAUGGAUACUCUUGAAGAUUUGCAGGAAUUCGUGGAUGAUGAUUUGCUUGAGAAUGAGUCAGAAUAUGAACGUGUUCACGUGGAAAAUAACAAGCAUAAUAUGGGUAGUUUGGAGGGAGAUCUUCUGGAAGAUGAAUCUGAGAUGGAGAUUGAAGAUGUUUAUAGUGCAUACAGGGAAUGAGAAGUUAGAAGUGCAUACUAGCAUGAAGAGUUUUGAGUCUGGUUUAUUCGUGAAAAAUAAACUAGUAGUGUCAGGUAUGAUGUAGAUUUUAACCCCAAAACAGAAAGUUUCUGGCCCCUUAUUUGGGUUGGUUACCAAGAUGAUGACCAUAUUGGUUUAUAUAAAUGCUCUGAACUCUGAAGUUAAUAGUUGUUCCUGCUGUCGUGCAUUGUCCGUAGAUGGUCCUACAAGGCUACAACCGUUUAAUCACACAGUCUCACUAAAGUUAUGGCUGAAGUUGAUCUGCUAGCAGAUUUCUUAAAACAAGUUUUGGUCUUCAAGAUGUUCUCAUCAAGGACGUGAUGAAGGUGAAUGAUGUGAAACUAAAAAAUUGGACUCGUAUGGAAUUGCUGCUCCAGGAGACCAAGAAAGAUGUUCGCGAUAUCUUUGACAAGAUGACAAUAGACACACGACCUUAGGACAGUGCUGAAUGAAAGAUGUGGCACGGUGGAGUCAUGGCAGGGGAAUUUUAGAAAUGUUUAAGGUCAAAAUGAUUUGUUAUGUUGUUCAUAGUAGUGAAUAUGGUAAUUAUGAUGCCAACCUACCAUGCAAAUAUCCCAAAUGUUCCUGCAAAUCCUAUUGCCACUAUGUUAAGUUCUUCUGUCAAUAUUGAUAAUGGGAACAAGAGAGGGGACUACUUGCACAAGUAGGGACUCAAGAGCAUGUACUUUGUGAAUUGUAGACAUGCAAGCCACUGUUUAGUUCCUAAUAUACAGUCAAGGUGCACAUAUAUGAAAUGUGAGGAGGUUAGUAUCUAA